CUAGCGUAAAUUGGAUAAUCAUCAAAUAUAAUAUUUUUUUAAAAUAUCAGCUUGGGUUAGUCAUCAUCAAAGUCAGAUCGGGCCUAACUUUUCUGUACAUCGAUUUUAUCUGAGGAUAGAAUUUUCUAUCCCUAACAUAACCUAUGAAGUUUAACAAACCAAGAACUUGGUUGAUUCCAUGACAUGAAGAUAAACAAAAGUGUGUACUAUCACCAAAGUCAAAAGAGAGGGAUAUCGAAUCUCUUCUAAUAUUCCACCCUCGUGUGUAUGUUCGCCCUCAUCCAGAUUAAGAUUUUUUAUAGCAAGAUACCUACUAGACCCAAUAUUUUAGGAACACUCAAUCCAUAUCCUU
rnacentral:lncRNA from 1 species